AUGUACAGUACCAGUCAAAAGUUUGGACACAUUUUCUCAAUGAAUUCAAUGAGGAAAGUGUGUCCAACUUUUGACUGGUACUGUACAA
rnacentral:pre_miRNA from 1 species